CUGAGGAAAUAGCUCAGGGGCAGAGUGCUUGCCUAGUGUGCCAGAGGCCCAGGGCUUGAUUCCCAGCUCCACAGA
rnacentral:tRNA from 1 species